rnacentral:rRNA from 1 species
UACAGAGGGCGCAAGCGUUAUUCGGAUUCACUGGGCAUAAAGAGCACGUAGGCGGCUACGUAAGUCGGAUGUGAAAUCCCGCGGCUCAACCGCGGAAUGGCAUCCGAUACUGCGUGGCUCGAGGUCGGAAGGGGUAAGCGGAACUCCAGGUGGAACGGUGAAAUGUGUAGAUAUCUGGAGGAACACCGGUGGCGAAGGCGGCUUACUGGUCCGAAUCUGACGCUGAGGUGAGAAAGCUAGGGGAGCGAACGGG